AAAUAAAAAAAUUAUGAAACUACACAAAAUAAGCAGAUUGUAUUAAAAAAAUUAAAUAUUAAUAAAAGUAAAUAGAAUAAAAGAGAUAAUGAUCAGCAAUAAAAUGUUGAUUAAACUAAACUAUAUGAUGUUCUAUAUGAUGACGUUCUAGUCCAUUGUGAUAUUUUGUCUUAUUUUCUAUUUUACUGUGGUAUCUAUUUUCUAUCGUAUUCUGCUUUGUUGUAUUCUAUUUUUAUUCUAUUGUUCUACUCUAUAUUCAUUCAUAUUCUUUAUGCCAUUUUGCAUUAAAUCUGUUCUGUCCUAUUCUUCCAUUUACAUCAGUAUUUGGUUCUGUUUUAUUCUAUUUUCUUCUGAUGUUUUGCUUUAUUUUUUGUUCUUGUAUUUUUCAUUAUAUUCUUAUCUACUGUGUUAUGAUAUAUUCUAUUCUAUUUUGAUAUUUUGUUUUAUUUUCCAUUUUACUGUGAUAUCUUGCUUUAUUUUCUAUUGUAUUCUGCUUUGUUUUAUUCAAUUGUUAUACUCUAUAUUCAUUCAUAUUCUUUAUACCAUUUUGCAUUUAAUCUAUUCUUUCCUAUUCCAUUUUAUAGCAGUAUUCGGUUCUGUUUUAUUCUAUUUUUUUUCUGAUGUUUUGCUUUAUUUUGUAUUCUAUUCUUGCAUUGUUCAUUAUAUUCUUAUCUACUGUGUUACGAUAUGUUCUAUUCUAUUGUGAUAUUUUGUUUAUUUUCCAUUUUACUGUGAUAUCUUGCUUUAUUUUCUAUCGUAUUCUGUUUUGUUGUAUUCUAUUUUUAUUCUAUUCUACUCUAUAUACAUUCAUAUUCUUUAUGCCAUUUUGCAUUUAAUCUAUUCUUUCAUAUUCUUCCAUUUUAGUUCCAUUUUAUUCUAUUUGUUCUGAUGUUUUGCUUUAUUUUCUAUUCUAUUCUUGCAUUUUUCAUUUAAUUCUCAUCUACUAUGAUAUGUCACCUUCUAUACCUGUUCUGUCGUAUUCUAUUUUUAUUCUAUAGUGUUUCUACUCUGGAGGUCAUGCUCCACUUUUAGUGCUCGUGGUGACGCUCCCUCAUAUGGCUUCAGUCAGCUGCUUCAUGUAGACAAGACGCGCACAAUAACACCGGAAAUGGGGUGAUUUUCUUAUCAAAAUAAAAUAAAACACCUGAUGCUUUGCCCUCAUUCAUCUGAAUAGCUACUGUAACUUUUUGACGUGGUGUUUUUUGGCAUCAUACUCUUUCUUUCAUGCACAUUUCUAUUCGCUUGGGAACUUUCUGUUACUAAAAUAUGGUAAAUUAUAAGGCAUAUUUUUAAGGGUUUGACCGGAAGUGUUUGAUUAAAGGCUAUAACUUGAUGCCAAAUAGCAAUGUCCGACUUUGUAGGUUACCUGACAGGAACAAGCCCGGCUUCUUCUCCUAAACAACAUCUUUCAUUACUCUACAAACAGCUGGACGGAUGUUCAUCAUCUUCAUCAUCUCAUUGACAUCUGACAGCCUGCGUGCAGUGGGGCCAAUAAACAGCGGAUGCGGCUGGCGCCCGGCUGCGGACGGCCCUCUCAAUGGUCUCUCCCACCAUGAAAGCGUUGGUGGAUGCUGUGUGGAUGGUGUGGAGCAUCGGGGCCUCCGUUUAUGACUACAUCCACACCAACGCCAUGGAGGAGCGCAUCCACGCCCUGGAGGACGUCAUCACAAUCCACCAGUGUGUGAUUGGACUCCUGUCUGCAGGCGUGUUGGCGCUCUUCACCUACAUCCUCUUCAAGAAGAUCUGAAGAUGUGUCCUCAAGCCGGGAAAGAGGAGAUGGCGUGGGACCGAACACAUACAUGGGCGUCAAGUAACUUAUUAACUUUUUUAACAUCGAUCUGUUUUGGAGAAGACACAUUGAGGUUCAUGUCCUCCCUCAGUGAUGUGGUUGUGGAGGAGGUCAGCAUGUGGAGCUACAGCUGUUUUUUAACGGCCUGUAUAGAUCGUUUUUUUACUGAUGACAGAUUUAAUGUGCCAAUAUCUUUACAUUUUUAUUUAAAU